UACGUAGGGGGCAAGCGUUGUCCGGAUUUAUUGGGCGUAAAGAGCGUGUAGGCGGCCAUGUAGGUCCGUUGUGAAAACUCGAGGCUCAACCUCGAGACGCCGAUGGAAACCAUGUGGCUAGAGUCCGGAAGAGGAGAGUGGAAUUCCUGGUGUAGCGGUGAAAUGCGCAGAUAUCAGGAGGAACACCGGUGGCGAAGGCGGGUCUCUGGGCCGUAACUGACGCUGAGGAGCGAAAGCGUGGGGAGCAAACAGG
rnacentral:rRNA from 1 species